rnacentral:lncRNA from 1 species
AGGCUCCUUGCUCAGCUUCUGGGGCUGCUAAUGCUCUGGGUCCCUGGAUCCAGUGGGGAUAUUGUGAUGACCCAGACUCCACUCUCCUCACCUGUCACCCUUGGACAGCCGGCCUCCAUCUCCUGCAGGUCUAGUCAAAGCCUCGUACACAGUGAUGGAAACACCUACUUGAGUUGGCUUCAGCAGAGGCCAGGCCAGCCUCCAAGACUCCUAAUUUAUAAGAUUUCUAACCGGUUCUCUGGGGUCCCAGACAGAUUCAGUGGCAGUGGGGCAGGGACAGAUUUCACACUGAAAAUCAGCAGGGUGGAAGCUGAGGAUGUCGGGGUUUAUUACUGCAUGCAAGCUACACAAUUUCCUCACACAUGAAGCCAAGGAGUGGGAAAUAAUUCUUCAGAACUGUGGCUGCACCAUCUGUCUUCAUCUUCCCGCCAUCUGAUGAGCAGUUGAAAUCUGGAACUGCCUCUGUUGUGUGCCUGCUGAAUAACUUCUAUCCCAGAGAGGCCAAAGUACAGUGGAAGGUGGAUAACGCCCUCCAAUCGGGUAACUCCCAGGAGAGUGUCACAGAGCAGGACAGCAAGGACAGCACCUACAGCCUCAGCAGCACCCUGACGCUGAGCAAAGCAGACUACGAGAAACACAAAGUCUACGCCUGCGAAGUCACCCAUCAGGGCCUGAGCUCGCCCGUCACAAAGAGCUUCAACAGGGGAGAGUGUUAGAGGGAGAAGUGCCCCCACCUGCUCCUCAGUUCCAGCCUGACCCCCUCCCAUCCUUUGGCCUCUGACCCUUUUUCCACAGGGGACCUACCCCUAUUGCGGUCCUCCAGCUCAUCUUUCACCUCACCCCCCUCCUCCUCCUUGGCUUUAAUUAUGCUAAUGUUGGAGGAGAAUGAAUAAAUAAAGUGAAUCUUUGC